rnacentral:snRNA from 1 species
GCUGGAAGAGCACCGCACG